UCUCUCUCUCUCUCUCAUGUCGAUACUCAUCAAUGGCUGAGACAUUGAGUACAAAACCGUCUACAGCGUUAAGGAAUAGAGCUUCCAUGGCGAACCGUUCCCAGUCACCGACCAGUCCGCUAUUCGUUCUGGGCUCCAACGACGACCAGCUCGAACGCGCCCAGGCACGCGCCGCACGCGCCGCCGCCAAUCGUCGCAAAGCGGCUACAGUUUCCGCUCCUUUUUCUCCGCCUAGCGAUCCUUGUCUCAGUAGAGAACAGAUUAUCGACCUCUUCCAGAACUGCGUCAAACUCGCCAGCGAAAAUAAAAUAAACCAGAAGAACACGUGGGAGCUUAAGCUUAUAGAUCAUCUUAGCGAGAUUAUUAAAGUUGAAGCCGAAAAUGACACAGAGACUAAUUUCCAGAAGGCAAGUUGCACACUGGAAGCAGGGGUGAAAAUUUAUGCGGUGAGGGUGGAUUCAGUGCAUGCUGAGGCAUAUAAGGUCCUAAGUGGGAUGAAUCGAGCCAGUCUGGAAGAUGAACAAGAAACUACUAGGAGGGAUGACAAUGUCAACAACGAGCAGGGUAGGGGUCAGUCUAAGAAAGAGUUGGAGAGGAAGAUAUCGCCACUAUCGACAUUGGAAUCCUCCUUUGAAGCUCUGAACGUAAAGAAGCUUGAUGUUGCAUUCACGGUCGAUCCUCUUUAUCACCAAUCAUCUGCACAGUGUGAUGAAGGUGGAGCCAAGGGUCUGCUAUUAAAUAACCUUGGAGUAUAUGGAGGAUGCCAGGUGAUUUUUGAUUCUUACGAAGUUCCAGGGAUGUGCAGAUCAUGUUCAUUGCAUAGUAAUUCCUCAGAUUUGAUUGAUCUCUCUUUUGCCAAAGAAUCUAUUCAGGAGAUGGUGGUGAACAUGCUUGCAAAGAAUGAAAUUUCUCCUACUCUCAAGGAGAUACUUUGCCAAUUUGAAGAAAAUAAUCAGCGGUCAUCACAAGAUUUUAAUAUAGGCCAAAAUUCAGAUCUCAAAAUGGAUGGCUUUGAUGAUAAAGAAGUUGAGUGGGACAUUUCAUCUGGGAACUGUGACACAUGGGCCAUUGAUCAUGAUGAUGAUAUAGGUGUUGAUCAUGAGAAUAGAAGUUUUGGAGAUCCUACAUUUCAAAGUCAUCAUGAGGUUAAUAACUCUGGUACAUCAUAUGAAGCUGAUGUAGGUGACAGAUUUGAGAGAGUUUCUGCGUUUUUGUUUCAAGGUUUGGGAUUGAAUUCAAAGAAAAAUGCAUGGGCUGGUCCUGAUCACUGGAAAUAUUGGAGGCCUAAGGGUUCAGAGGAAGCUCCUGCGACUCAAAGCAAACCAACUACUAAGAGAACAAAGAAAAAGGACCAUAAGGAGGUCGACCUUGAUUUCACAACAUCUCUAUACAAAGAAUUUCCAGACAUCUUUGCUCCCCCAAAAAAUUUCAAGUCUUUACUCCUACCUGCAAAUACAGUACCUUGUAGUAACAGGCUUCCAGAAGAUUGCCAUUAUCAACCUGAGGAUCUUGCCAAGUUGUUUCUCCUUCCGGAUGUUCUGUUCUUUGGGAAGAGAAGACGGCAUCAUACAGAUGAUAACUCGUGGGAACAAAGUAAUAAUUUUGAUGAAGCAUUUCCUUCAUGGGAUAACGAGAGCGUGUGUAGUGGCCAAUAUGGUGAUGGAUGUGUUCAUAGCAAUGUGGAAGACACGGACACACUUGUCUCUCAACCUCGUCAGGUAAGCAAAAUUGAAGUGCAGUACGAUAGAACUUCAAAACGAGUUGAUGUUCAUGCAUUGAGGGAAACUCUGUGGGGUCAUAUGCAAGAAUCUGCGGAAGUUCCUUCAGCAGAAUUGAAAGACACCAUAUCCUUCAAGCAUAUACUGGUCACCUUUCCCGUCAACUGCCGAGCUGCGGCGCCUGAGGAUAUUUCGCCCCAUUUGUGUUUCAUCUGCCUUUUGCAUUUGGCUAAUGAGUAUGGGUUAAGCAUACAUGACUGCCCAAGUUUAGACGACUUGAGCAUUCAUCUUCCGUCUCGUUCAAACUCGGAUGGGGUGGAACAGCCUUCAUCGUAGUCAAAGAUGUAGUGUACAUUUGAUAUGUGGAUAUUUCAAGCUAGCAUGCCUUCACCACAUGCAAGUCGCUAGGGCAAGCAUUGCUCAAAGAAAUGCUUUACUUGGUUUCUACCACUACAAACCCAUUCCUCUCAUUCCUCGCAUUCCCUCUCAUUCAUUCCUAUUCCUCCUCACCACCUUUUCAGUCCUUCAACAGAAGCCAUGAACAAAGUUGAAAAACCUCAGAUUCUAGUUCUUUCUCUUCUUGCCAUUCUUCUCAUCAUUGCACCUCUAUUAUCCUCAUCACUCAGAACUCCUUAUCUCUACAUCAUCACUAACCUCCUCAUUAUUGCCCUCGGAGCACAAGCCGGCCUUCUCUCUGCCUUUUCCAACCCUUCAGAUUAUGACAAAGACAAACCUCUGGUUAUGGCUUCAGAAUUUGCCUCCUCUGAUAAAAGGGUUGUUGCCGAUAGUGAUGAAGAUAAAAGGGUAGGUUCCAAAUCUUCCGAAAAAUCUUCCGAAAAAUCUUCUGAAAAAUCUUCUGAAAAGAAGGCGAAGGUUGUUGAAAAAUCUAGAUCAGAGAAGAUUGCUGGCACUGUGAAAAUAGACAGUGUCAAGAAAUGUCCUUCUAUGCCUAGCCUUUUCUUCAUAGGGGGUAGUGAGGCUGAUCAAGGAGAUCAUGAGGUAAUUGAGGAAAAACAUGAAAUGGAGGAAGAAGAAGAAGUGGGGGAAAUUAGUGGGCAAGAGCUUUUUACCAAAGCUGAGACCUUUAUUGGGAACUUCUACAAGCAGUUGAAGAUGCAAAGGGAAGACUCAUGGAAGAAGAUUCAUGACUUUUAUCACAAAGCCUUUUAAUAAACUUUGCUCUCUGUCUCUGUCUCUCUCUCUGUGUCUCUCUCUGCUUUAUAUCUUAUAAUUGUUUAUAUCAUAUUUAAUCGCCUAGAUCAUUGGUUUUGGGGGAUUAUGAUUGGUCAAAGGGAAACCAUGUAAUUCAACUCAUGGUUCUUCCUUCCAUUAAUUUGGGUUUGUACAGAACCAUAUAUACACAGUAUCCCUGUUUUUACAACAGGGGUGGGGGUUAGUCUAGUCAGGCAUUGCAGACAAAUUAAGAUAUUAGAUACUUAAAAACAAUUCCUUGUACUAAAUCUCCCUCAUUCAGCAAAUCUAUAAAAAUAUUUUAGUUUAUGGUU